GACGAACGCUGGCGGCGUGCCUAAUACAUGCAAGUCGAGCGAAGUUUUUCUGGUGCUUGCCCUAGAAAAACUUAGCGGCGAACGGGUGAGUAACACGUAAAGAACCUGCCUCAUAGACUGGGACAACUAUUGGAAACGAUAGCUGAUACCGGAUAACAGUAUUUCUCGCAUGGGAGAUAUUUAAAAGUUGGUUAUGCUAACACUAUGAGAUGGCUUUGCGGUGCAUUAGCUAGUUGGUGGGGUAAAGGCCCACCAAGGCGACGAUGCAUAGCCGACCUGAGAGGGUGAUCGGCCAUACUGGGACUGAGACACGGCCCAGACUCCUACGGGAGGCAGCAGUAGGGAAUCUUCCGCAAUGGGCGAAAGCCUGACGGAGCAACGCCGCGUGAGUGAAGAAGGAUUUCGGUUCGUAAAGCUCUGUUGUUAGGGAAGAAUGGAUAUGUAGUAACUAUACAUGUAAGAGACGGUACCUAACCAGAAAGCCACGGCUAACUACGUG
rnacentral:rRNA from 1 species